GCCCUACCAUGNCAGNUCGAGCGGNAGAGAGAAGCUUGCUUCUCUUGAGAGCGGCGGACGGGUGAGUAAUGCCUAGGAAUCUGCCUAGUGGUGGGGGAUAACGUUCGGAAACGGACGCUAAUACCGCAUACGUCCUACGGGAGAAAGCGGGGGAUCUUCGGACCUCGCGCCAUUAGAUGAGCCUAGGUCGGAUUAGCUAGUUGGUGAGGUAAUGGCUCACCAAGGCGACGAUCCGUAACUGGUCUGAGAGGAUGAUCAGUCACACUGGAACUGAGACACGGUCCAGACUCCUACGGGAGGCAGCAGUGGGGAAUAUUGGACAAUGGGGCGAAAGCCUGAUCCAGCCAUGCCGCGUGUGUGAAAGAAGGUCUUCGGAUUGUAAAGCACUUUAAGUUUGGGA
rnacentral:rRNA from 1 species